rnacentral:rRNA from 1 species
GGGGGGCACAGUAGGGAAUCUUCCACAAUGGGCGCAAGCCUGAUGGAGCAACACCGCGUGAGUGAAGAAGGGUUUCGGCUCGUAAAGCUCUGUUGUUGGAGAAGAACGUGCGUGAGAGUAACUGUUCACGCAGUGACGGUAUCCAACCAGAAAGUCACGGCUAACUACGUGCCAGCAGCCGCGGUAAUACGUAGGUGGCAAGCGUUAUCCGGAUUUAUUGGGCGUAAAGCGAGCGCAGGCGGUUGCUUAGGUCUGAUGUGAAAGCCUUCGGCUUAACCGAAGAAGUGCAUCGGAAACCGGGCGACUUGAGUGCAGAAGAGGACAGUGGAACUCCAUGUGUAGCGGUGGAAUGCGUAGAUAUAUGGAAGAACACCAGUGGCGAAGGCGGCUGUCUGGUCUGCAACUGACGCUGAGGCUCGAAAGCAUGGGUAGCGAACAGGAUUAGAUACCCUGGUAGUCCAUGCCGUAAACGAUGAGUGCUAGGUGUUGGAGGGUUUCCGCCCUUCAGUGCCGGAGCUAACGCAUAAGCACUCCGCCUGGG